GACAAACAAAACUUCUUUUUACUUCAACAGGGCUGUGCCCUUGGAACCCGUGAAGUUCUGAUAACCGGGGGCCAGGAAUCACAUAGAGAUUUCACAAGAGAGAAAGAGCACAGCAGUCAGCUCUGAAACCCUCAUGCUGCCCUUCUUGCCACCCCACCUUUACUCAUUCAUUCAUUCAUUCAUUCAUUUAUUUAUUCAUUGAGAGAGAGAGAGAGAGAGAGAGCGCACACGCAUCAGUAACAACAGUAACCCGAUUUUCAGUUUGGAAAACCAAAACUUUCUCCUCAUUUCCAGAUAGUGCUUCCUUUUCUGCUUUUCUCUCACUUUACUCAGAAAAGCCCUGUCAGGAUCCCGGAGGUAUGGGUGCAUCAGCAGGGCCUAAUGAAGCUAAAUGAGCUCAGCUUGGGAAGGCGCUGAUGGCUUUUGCCUAUGCUCUGGAGUUUCUGGAGAGGAAGAUAAGCCUGGAGUUAAAAGCCCGACAGAGGCAGAGGCGGCGGGCUGAGGCGGCUCCGGACACAAUGUUUGCAGGGGGAAUAGAGAGAAAAGGUUUGCGGACUCUCAGAGAUGGAAGGAAUGCUGGCUGCUUUACAGUCUGUUCCUUCAGAGGAGCUUCAAGGGCAGUGAAAGUCUUCAUCGAGGGGACCCUUAUGGAGAGAGGGGCAGAGGCAAAACGGGAACGGGAAGAGAAGGAGAGCUUUUCAGCCGAAGCGAUCAAAGAGCCUGGCUUCCACAGGCUCCAACGGAAUAAAUAGUACAUUGGGUGAAAUACUUGCCUUAAACGAUGGGAGGUGGUCCACGGGAAAGCUAAAUAGAUGCUUUGAGAUACAAGGGAAGAAGUUUCUGAGCUGCUUCUGUCCAUCAUUGACCAACCGGAACCGAGUAAGCUCUUCUCUUUGUCGAAGACAUCCACUUCCAUUAGAAUCCAUCCUCGGACAGUAUCGUUGUUGAAGUGUGUAAUGAUCUCCUGCUUCUGCUCCUUUCACUCAGCAUCAGUUCAUUUCUUCUUUGGUCACCAAUUCCUUCCUCCUCCACAAGUCUGAGAGCAGGACCUGGUGCCAUGGAUGCCCCAAGCCUACUUUGCUAUAAUAGUGUUUGCCUUUAAAGACAGUAACUGCUAUGGCAAGAUCCAAAAUGAAAAAGAUGAAUGAACAAUCCACAAAGAUGAAAGCAAAGCCAUUGCUGUGGGUUUGAUUUGAUAUUGAAGAAGAAGGAAGAUCUCCACAAAAAGAAUGCAUAUUAACAAAAAUAUAAAUUGCCCCACAAACACACACACACACACACACACACACACACACACACACACACAAAUGGAAUACUUACAGAAUCCCUAUUUAGCCAAGAAAAAUUGGAAGAAGACAUUGAUGAGUUUCCCCAGACAAAACUGAAACAAAAUUCAAAUAUUCUAGGAAAGAAAACUAUGAGCUGCUUUAAAACUAACAAAGAAAUAAAAACUUUUGACUUCCAAGAUUCUUUCCCUUAUGGCCACUUCCAGUUCCAGUUAAGAAACCACCAUAUGAUUCAUUCAUUUUUGGUGGAAGCAUAAUGAAUUCAAACAGUAUCCAAAAAAAAAAAAAAAAAAAAAAAAAAAAAAAAAAAAAAAAAAAAAGAGCAGUUAUGGAGAAGGGAGUAGUCUUAGCAUUUACUAACUAGAUUUCCAAUGUAUUUAAGAAAUUGAAACCCCCAAAGUAGUGCUUGGUCUGUGGAACAGUUUAGGUAAGGAAUAUGAAGGAGAAAGUGUUUGAUAAAGACUAAGCUCCAAGCUCCAAUGCCAGGCAAUCGGUAUUGGACUAACCCCUCUCCUUCACCCCCCCCCCCCCCCAAUAAACAACAACAAACAACAAACGACAACGACAACGACAACAACAACAACAACAACUUCCUGGAACACUGGAAAGCAGGGUGGCAGAAACUAGACCCAGACCACAUUUCACUCUGUCUUUAUACCGAGAUCAGAUCCAAAAAGGGUUACCUGAAUUAGGGAUUCAGGGUCAUAGCCAAAGCCAAGGAAGGGGAUUUUGAGAAAGGGACCUGUCGGAACCAAGAGACUAAGGGAAGACUGAUCAAAGAAGAGAGGAAUUUGGGAGGGGAAAAUUGACCCAGAACAGAUCAUUUUGAUUUCAUGACAGCGAACGGUUUUUGCAUGAGGCGCAUGCAAUGGAACCAACUCGAGAAGAAAAGGAAGAAACCUUGUAUCUCUUGUACUUACUUAGCCCCCUCCCCCCUCUCUCCCAAUAACGUGGGAAAUGUUUUAUUGGGAUUUCUUAUAUAUAAUGAGUUUCUUAGGGCUUUCUUGCCAUCUGAAUGGUACGGAAUGGGGUGGAGUGAUAAGAAACAGGAGUCAGGGUGAGGAUUUAGAAUUAAAAAUUAAAAAGAGAGGCAAACGA